GUUGUUGUUUUUUAAAUAUUUUAAUGCCUUUUAAUGCUUUACAUCUGUUUUUGUGUCAAUCGUGUCCAUGGAGGGCAAAAGGAUUGCGAGUAACUGGUUGGAGGGUAAUUCUUUGUUGAAACACUGGAAUGAGGUGAAGGUUGUACGAAAGCUCAAGGAUUGUGUUAAUAUGCUCAAGGGCAAAGGCAUGAGACUUACACCGCAGUGAAGUUUAUGGCCGUCCCCUUUUUAUAUUGGAUUUCCUGUUAUAGGUCGAGCUGGAUGAGUUUUGAGAGUUCCCCAGAUGUUAUGAAAGAAGUAAACAUGCAGCAUGAGCGACACUGCUGCUUAGUCAACUUUGGGUUAAAAAAGAAAGCUUGAUGGGUGUGAAGAGGGUAAAUUGGGAUAUGUGUAGAGCCUGGGUUUUCACUUGGGGUUUUUACCAAAGGAAGCGAUUUGAAGAUUAUGUUGGGACUCGUGUAAAAGGAUAGACUUAUGAAAGGUUCAUUUUAUUGGUGGAUUUCAAGGAAAAUGUUAUUGCUGGAGGAAUUUGUGCUUCGCUUUUAGUCCUUUUCGUUGAAACAUUCUGCAAUGCCUUUAUACUUUGAGUUAGCUCCCACAUGACUUGCUUGGAAAUUAGUAUGCGUCUCUUGGGAAGGUCAACUUUCAACCAAAAAUUGUUAUAAAAUGUGAAUAUAGUGUCUAAUAUGAAAUACUGCAUGUUGAAAUGCUUGUACCGCCUUUGCAACUUAUACGUCCUUUUCUUUUAAUUUGAUGCAUUUCCGGUUUUUUGUGAUUGAAUUUAUGCAUUUAGCCAAACUUCUGAAUAUCACAAAAAAUUUAUCCGCUCAUUAAUGGAGAUUAAAUUUUCCUUUGGUUUGGCAAAUAUAUAGAUUAGUACGGCCUAAACUUUUUCUGUUUGAGAUAUAUUAUGUGUCCUAUGUGGUUGUUAAUGCAUAUAUUUGUUUUUAUCCCCAUGCUAGAGGAAUGCUGCAUUUUGCCUUCUUAUACGAAGUUAUUGCCUAUGCCUGGAGAAAUGUUUGCUAAUCCAUUGGUUUCGAGGUCCAUGUGAAGUUCUCCAAAUGUAGUUUUUGCUAGAUAACCAGGUUUUAGUUGUCCUUAUAUUUUGAUCCUUAUGCCUAUAGAUUUCCUAAUCAUGGACAUGUUGUUGGGUCUUGUAUUGAAAGUAAUAAUUUCCAUGUUCUUUUUCUUAAUGAUAC